GGUUGCGAUCAUACCAGCACUAAUGCACCGGAUCCCAUCAGAACUCCGCAGUUAAGCGUGCUUGCUCGUGUUGCAACCC
rnacentral:rRNA from 1 species